ensembl:processed_transcript
GACAGACAUCCAACAAAGGCAAAAAUCACAGAGGUCCUGGUCUUAAUGAUCAUUGUCUUGGGGAACAGAAUGACCGGCUUUGUGGAAAUACACAGCUAUAAUUGAAUGCAGCAUGACCUCCGACCUCACCCCUAAUGGUAGUGUAAUGAGAGAUGAGGGCUCAUUGUUGCACCCAUGUUGAAGAUUUGGGAUUCUACACUAACGACAGAGCAGACGGCCCAUCUGUCAGCUGUGACUUAAAUGGGUCUGGAAUAUUCCCCUCUGUGGAUUUCACCUUGAUUGGAUGUAAUGACAGCAUCU